GACAGAGGGGGCAAGCGUUGUUCGGAUUUACUGGGCGUAAAGGGCGCGUAGGCGGCGCGGUAAGUCACUUGUGAAAUCUCUGAGCUUAACUCAGAACGGCCAAGUGAUACUGCAGUGCUAGAGUGUGGAAGGGGCAAUCGGAAUUCUUGGUGUAGCGGUGAAAUGCGUAGAUAUCAAGAGGAACACCUGAGGUGAAGACGGGUUGCUGGGCCAACACUGACGCUGAGGCGCGAAAGCCAGGGGAGCAAACGGG
rnacentral:rRNA from 1 species